GACGAACGCUGGCGGCGUGCUUAACACAUGCAAGUCGAACGGAAAGGCCCUGCUUUUGUGGGGUGCUCGAGUGGCGAACGGGUGAGUAACACGUGAGUAACCUGCCCUUGACUUUGGGAUAACUUCAGGAAACUGGGGCUAAUACCGGAUAGGAGCUCCUGCUGCAUGGUGGGGGUUGGAAAGUUUCGGCGGUUGGGGUUGGACUCGCGGCUUAUCAGCUUGUUGGUGGGGUAGUGGCGUACCAAGGCUUUGUCGGGUAGCCGGCCUGAGAGGGUGACCGGCCACAUUGGGACUGAGAUACGGCCCAGACUCCUAAGGGAGGCAGCAGUGGGGAAUAUUGCACAAUGGGCGGAAGCCUGAUGCAGCAACGCCGCGUGCGGGAUGACGGCCUUCGGGUUGUAAACCGCUUUCGCCUGUGACGCAGCGUGAGUGACGGUAAUGGGUAAAGAAGCACCGGCUAACUACGUG
rnacentral:rRNA from 1 species